AACUUUCGGCAAUGGAUCUCUUGGUUCCGGCAUCGAUGAAGAACGCAGCGAAACGCGAUAGUUAAUGUGAAUUGCAGAAUUCAGUGAAUCAUCGAGUCUUUGAACGCACAUUGCGCCCCCUGGUAUUCCGGGGGGCAUGCCUGUCCGAGCGUCAUUGCUGCCCAUCAAGCGCGGCUUGUGUGUUGGGCCGCCGUCCCGCCCCCCGGGGAGGGACGGGCCCGAAAGGCAGCGGCGGCACCGCGUCCGGUCCUCGAGCGUAUGGGGCUCUGUCACCCGCUCUGGAGGCCCGGCCGGCGCCCGCCGACCCCCAACCUUCUUCUAACCAGGUUGACCUCGGAUCAGGUAGGGAUACCCGCUGAACUUAAGCAUAUCAAUAAGCGGAGGCU
rnacentral:misc_RNA from 1 species